CGCUUGUCAUGGUGGAACGCCGCGUUCGAGGACUCGUUAGAAACGACCAUGUUGAACGGCGAUUUGCGACACCAAGACGUGUACUCGUUGUCCUAUUCUGGUCAGCUAACCGGUGGUUGCGUGAAGUCGUACAAUAUGCCACCAGAAGUUUGCGCAAGGUGUCGUUAACUUCACUACUUCGAGUCACCGGUGUGUCGGAAUUUUCCCGCCAAGCUGACAGGCGAACAAGUUUUGUGGAUUUUGCUAUCAGGUAGCAAACAAAAGUGUCCUGACAAACUGUGCAAUGCUGACCACAUGGGGAGGGAAGCACCCCAUAAGAGGUGCUUAUUCAGCAUCUGUGGCUAACUCAAAGUAAGCACCUCACGAAAGCAGUGCCACAAGGAUGUGAGCCGCAAGUUCUUUCAACAAACGGAUCAGAUGCCUGAGAGCCACAAGCCAGCUGCUUUUGGCCUACACAGACAGUGCAGCCAUCGCAGUAAACUUAUUGCAAAAGCGGACGGAAGGCAGUACAGAUAGACACACAGAAGCCAUCGGGCUGCCUCACAAACUGUGACUGAGAAUUCACCUACAUACAGAAAGGAGCCAAGUGUAGCUGUUCAUAGGCUAUGCACACAGUUUCAUAAGCGGGCUUUCCGCACUUUUUACAAUUAUGUUUCUGAAUACAUCUGCCAAAGUUGUAUUCAAA